UACGUAGGGCGCAAGCGUUGUCCGGAAUUAUUGGGCGUAAAGAGCUCGUAGGCGGUCUGUUACGUCCGCUGUGAAAACCCAGGGCUUAACCCUGGGCUUGCAGUGGAUACGGGUAGACUAGAGGCAGGUAGGGGGAGAAUGGAAUUCCCGGUGUAGCGGUGAAAUGCGCAGAUAUCGGGAGGAACACCGGUGGCGAAGGCGGUUCUCUGGGCCUGACCUGACGCUGAGGAGCGAAAGCGUGGGGAGCGAACAGG
rnacentral:rRNA from 1 species